rnacentral:rRNA from 1 species
UACGUAGGGGGCAAGCGUUGUCCGGAUUUAUUGGGCGUAAAGAGCGUGUAGGCGGCCAUACAGGUCAGCUGUGAAAACUCGAGGCUCAACCUCGAGACGUCGGUUGAAACCGUUUGGCUAGAGUCCGGAAGAGGAGAGUGGAAUUCCCGGUGUAGCGGUGAAAUGCGCAGAUAUCGGGAAGAACACCCGUGGCGAAGGCACUUUACUGGGCUAUUACUAACACUCAGAGACGAAAGCUAGGGUAGCAAGUGGG